GAGAAGACGAGGCUCUCGCAUAACUGACUCUCCCUGUGGCACGACUGAACAGAGGCGGUGAGCGAAGGCCGACGGUUGGGUGGAUGCGGGAGGCGAGGGGGGUUUUAAGAAAUAACGCGAGAGCCGGCGCAGAGGGAGAAAGUGAGCGUGAGCUCUCUUUGUCUCUGACUUUACAAGGAUAGUUAUCUGGCUCCGUUUCCACGGGAGCAGCCAGCCAGAGGAGCCCUGAAGUCGCAGAGAAGAGGAAAGUAACGUCAGGUGUGCAGGGGGGGGGACAGGACGGGCCCCAAGGUUGGGCUGCGAGGAGGCAGCCAUGCUCUUUGCAUAAAACUGUGGAGGUGUGAAGAAAGAGGGAUUGCCUGCAAGCUGACGCGAC
ensembl:lncRNA